CUACGGGUGGCAGCAGUGAGGAAUAUUGCACAAUGGGGGAAACCCUGAUGCAGCAACGCCGCGUGGAGGAUGACGCAUUUCGGUGUGUAAACUCCUUUUAUCAGAGAAGAAAAUGACGGUAUCUGAUGAAUAAGCUCCGGCUAACUCCGUGCCAGCAGCCGCGGUAAUACGGAGGGAGCAAGCGUUAUUCGGAAUCACUGGGCGUAAAGGACGCGUAGGCGGGUUUUUAAGUCAGGUGUGAAAUCCUAUGGCUCAACCAUAGAACUGCACUUGAAACUGGGGACCUAGAGUAUGGAAGGGGCAGGUGGAAUUAGUGGUGUAGGGGUAACAUCCGUAGAUAUCACUAGGAAUACCGAAAGCGAAGGCGACCUGCUGGGACAUUACUGACGCUGAGGCGUGAAAGCGUGGGGAGCAAACAGGAUUAGAUACCCCGGUAGUC
rnacentral:rRNA from 1 species